rnacentral:rRNA from 1 species
AUUGAACGCUGGCGGCAGGCUUAACACAUGCAAGUCGAACGAGUGGCGGACGGGUGAGUAAUGCUUGGGAAUCUAGCUUAUGGAGGGGGAUAACUACGGGAAACUGUAGCUAAUACCGCGUACCAUAGGAUGAGCCCAAGUGGGAUUAGGUAGUUGGUGAGGUAAAGGCUCACCAAGCCGACGAUCUCUAGCUGGUCUGAGAGGAUGACCAGCCAGACUGGGACGGAGACACGGCCCAGAAUCCUACGAGAGGCAGCAGUGGGGAAGAUUGCACAAUGGGCGCAAUCCUUAUACAGCCAUGCCGCGUGUAUGAAGGAGGCCUUCGGGUAGUAAAGUACUUUCAGUCGGGAGGCGUUACCGACAGAAGAAGCACCGGCUAACUCCGUGCCAGGAGCCGCGGUAAUAC